rnacentral:rRNA from 1 species
AACCUCCGCAAUGUGAGAAAUCGCGACGGGGGGAUCCCAAGUGCCAUUCUUAACGGGAUGGCUUUUCAUUAGUGUAAAGAGCUUUUGGAAUAAGGGCUGGGCAAGACUGGUGCCAGCCGCCGCGGUAACACCGGCAGCUCUAGUGGUAGCAGUUUUUAUUGGGCCUAAAGCGUCCGUAGCCGGUUUAAUAAGUCUCUGGUGAAAUCCUGUAGCUUAACUGUGGGAAUUGCUGGAGAUACUAUUAGACUUGAGACCGGGAGAGGUUAGAGGUACUCCCAGGGUAGAGGUGAAAUUCUGUAAUCCUGGGAGGACCGCCUGUUGCGAAGGCGUCUAACUGGAACGGUUCUGACGGUGAGGGACGAAAGUUAGGGGCGCGAACCGGAUUAGAUACCCGGGUAGUCCUAACUGUAAACGAUGCGGACUUGGUGUUGGGGUGGCUUUGAGCUGCUCCAGUGCCGAAGGGAAGCUGUUAAGUCCGCCGCCUGGGAAGUACGGUCGCAAGACUGAAACUUAAAGGGAAU